ACGAAGGGUGCAAGCGUUGUUCGGAAUUACUGGGCGUAAAGGGCGCGUAGGCGGUCUUGUCAGUCCCUUGUGAAAUCCCCCGGCUCAACUGGGGAACUGCACGGGAAACAGCAGGGCUUGAGUUCGGGAGAGGGAAGCGGAAUUCCGGGUGUAGCGGUGAAAUGCGUAGAGAUCGGGAGGAACACCAGUGGCGAAGGCGGCUAUCUGGAAGGUCACUGACGCUGAGGCACGACAGCUGGGGGAGCAAACAGGA
rnacentral:rRNA from 1 species